rfam:Cicer arietinum chromosome Ca1, whole genome shotgun sequence.
AAACCGUGUAAUGAGUACAUAGUGAACUAUUAUUUCGCCUUUUACUAAAGAAUACCGUGUAUUCAUUAUCAAAAGCGGUAUAUGAAUAUUUUUGGGAGAGUCUUCACUUGAAGGCUC